AUUGAACGCUGGCGGCAUGCCUUACACAUGCAAGUCGAACGGCAGCGGGGGAGAAGCUUGCUUUUCCUGCCGGCGAGUGGCGACCGGGUGAGUAAUACAUCGGAACGUGCCCUGUAGUGGGGGCUAACUAGUCGAAAGAUUAGCUAAUACCGCAUACGACCUGAGGGUGAAAGUGGGGGACCGUAAGGCCUCAUUGUAUAGGAUCGGGCGCUGUCUGAUUAGCUAGUUGGUGGGGGAAAGGCCUACCAAGGCGACGAUGAGUAGCUGGUCUGAGAGGACGAUCAGCCACACUGGGACUGAGCGACGGCCCAGACUCCUACUGGAGGCAGCGGUGGGGAAUUUUGGAUAAUGGGAGAAAGCCUGAUCCAGCAAUGCCGCGUGUGUGAAGAAGGCCUUCGGGUUGUAAAGCACUUUUGUCCGGAAAGAAAUGGCUCUGGUUAAUACCUGUGGUCGAUGUCGGUACCGGAAGAAUAAGGACCGGCUAACUACGUGCCAGCAGCCGCCGUAAAAC
rnacentral:rRNA from 1 species